rfam:Human gut metagenome DNA, contig sequence: In-R_005008.
CCGGAAGCCCUGGCAGGGUGCGCACCGGAUAAAGCGGCCCUACCUCACCGGCAC